UGCAGUCGAGCGAAUCUUAAGGUGCUUGCACCUUUUGGUUAGCGGCGGACGGGUGAGUAACACGUGGGCAACCUGCCUGUAAGACUGGGAUAACUUCGGGAAACCGGAGCUAAUACCGGAUAAUCCUUUUCCUCUCAUGAGGAAAAGCUGAAAGUCGGUUUCGGCUGACACUUACAGAUGGGCCCGCGGCGCAUUAGCUAGUUGGUGAGGUAACGGCUCACCAAGGCGACGAUGCGUAGCCGACCUGAGAGGGUGAUCGGCCACACUGGGACUGAGACACGGCCCAGACUCCUACGGGAGGCAGCAGUAGGGAAUCUUCCGCAAUGGACGAAAGUCUGACGGAGCAACGCCGCGUGAGCGAUGAAGGCCUUCGGGUCGUAAAGCUCUGUUGUUAGGGAAGAACAAGUACCGGAGUAACUGCCGGUACCUUGACGGUACCUAACCAGAAAGCCACGGCUAACUACGUGCCAGCAGCCGCGGUAAUACGUAGGUGGCAAGCGUUGUCCGGAAUUAUUGGGCGUAAAGCGCGCGCAGGCGGUCCUUUAAGUCUGAUGUGAAAGCCCACGGCUCAACCGUGGAGGGUCAUUGGAAACUGGGGGACUUGAGUACAGAAGAGGAAAGCGGAAUUCCACGUGUAGCGGUGAAAUGCGUAGAGAUGUGGAGGAACACCAGUGGCGAAGGCGGCUUUCUGGUCUGUAACUGACGCUGAGGCGCGAAAGCGUGGGGAGCAAACAGGAUUAGAUACCCUGGUAGUCCACGCCGUAAACGAUGAGUGCUAAGUGUUAGAGGGUUUCCGCCCUUUAGUGCUGCAGCUAACGCAUUAAGCACUCCGCCUGGGGAGUACGGCCGCAAGGCUGAAACUCAAAGGAAUUGACGGGGGCCCGCACAAGCGGUGGGAGCAUGUGGUUUAAUUCGAAGCAACGCG
rnacentral:rRNA from 1 species